rnacentral:rRNA from 1 species
AACGAACGCUGGCGGCAUGCCUAAUACAUGCAAGUCGAACGAGACCUUCGGGUCUAGUGGCGCACGGGUGCGUAACGCGUGGGAAUCUACCCUUGGGUUCGGAAUAACAUCGGGAAACUGAUGCUAAUACCGGUUGAUGACGUAAGUCCAUAGAUUUAUCGCCCAGGGAUGAGUCCGCGUAGGAUUAGCUAGUUGGUGAGGUAAAGGCUCACCAAGGCGACGAUCCUUAGCUGGUCUGAGAGGAUGAUCAGCCACACUGGGACUGAGACACGGCCCAGACUCCGACGGGAGGCAGCAGUAGGGAAUAUUGGACAAUGGGGGCAACCCUGAUCCAGCAAUGCCGCGUGAGUGAUGAAGGCCUUAGGGUUGUAAAGCUCUUUUACCCGGGAUGAUAAUGACAGUACCGGGAGAAUAAGCCCCGGCUAACUCCGUGCCAGCAGCCGCGGUAA